rnacentral:tRNA from 1 species
GUUUGCGAUAGCUCAGUUGGUAGAGCAAUGGACUCUUAAUCCAUUUGUCGCGGAUUCAAACUCCGCUCCAAAUA